AUUGAACGCUGGCGGCAUGCUUUACACAUGCAAGUCGAACGGUAGCAGGCCGCAAGGUGCUGACGAGUGGCGAACGGGUGAGUAAUGCAUCGGAACGUGCCCAGUCGUGGGGGAUAACUACUCGAAAGAGUAGCUAAUACCGCAUACGAUCUAUGGAUGAAAGCGGGGGACCGUAAGGCCUCGCGCGAUUGGAGCGGCCGAUGUCAGAUUAGGUAGUUGGUGGGGUAAAGGCUCACCAAGCCAACGAUCUGUAGCUGGUCUGAGGGGACAACCAGCCACACUGGGACUGAGACACGGCCCAGACUCCUACGGGAGGCAGCAGUGGGGAAUUUUGGACAAUGGGCGCAAGCCUGAUCCAGCAAUGCCGCGUGCAGGAAGAAGGCCUUCGGGUUGUAAACUGCUUUUGUACGGAACGAAACGGCUCUGGUUAAUACCCGGGGCUAAUGACGGUACCGUAAGAAUAAGCACCGGCUAACUACGUG
rnacentral:rRNA from 1 species